UACGUAGGGGGCAAGCGUUGUCCGGAAUCAUUGGGCGUAAAGAGCGUGUAGGCGGCUUGGUAAGUCCGCUGUGAAAGUCCAGGGCUCAACCCUGGAAUGCCGGUGGAAACUGCCAAGCUCGAGUCCGGAAGAGGCGAGUGGAAUUCCUGGUGUAGCGGUGAAAUGCGCAGAUAUCAGGAGGAACACCAAUGGCGAAGGCAGCUCGCUGGGACGGUACUGACGCUGAGAAGCGAAAGCAUGGGGAGCGAACAGG
rnacentral:rRNA from 1 species